UAAUCUCAUUUGGUAUCUCUGGGGGGCUGAGCGACGUCCAGGGUACCAGAUGAGAUGGGG
rnacentral:pre_miRNA from 1 species